GUCUAUGGCCAUACCACCCUGAACACACCCGAUCUCAUCUGAUCUCAGAAGCUAAGCAGGGUUGGGCCUGGUUAGAACUUGGAAGGGAGAUUUUAUUAUUUUAAGCCAUGCGUUAGCCU
ensembl:rRNA 5S_rRNA 5S ribosomal RNA